UGAUACGUAGGGUCCGAGCGUUGUCCGGAAUCAUUGGGCGUAAAGAGCGUGUAGGCGGCUUGGUAGGUCACGUGUUAAAGCCUGCGGCUCAACCGCAGAAUCGCACGUGAAACCACCUGGCUAGAGUCCGGAAGAGGAGAGCGGAAUUCCUGGUGUAGCGGUGAAAUGCGCAGAUAUCAGGAAGAACACCCGUGGCGAAGGCGGCUCUCUGGGACGGUACUGACGCUGAGACGCGAAAGCGUGGGGAGCGAACAGGAUUAGAUACCCUGGUAGUCCACGCCGUAAACGAUGGGCGCUAGGUGUGGGAGGUGUCGACUCCUCCCGUGCCGAAGCUAACGCAUUAAGCGCCCCGCCUGGGGAGUACGGCCGCAAGGCUA
rnacentral:rRNA from 1 species